GAUGAACGCUGGCGGCGUGCUUAACACAUGCAAGUCGAACGAAGCUACCCAAAGGAAGUUUUCGGAUGGAAUUUAGGUAGACUUAGUGGCGGACGGGUGAGUAACGCGUGGAUAACCUGCCUUAUACAGGGGGAUAACGGAGAGAAAUUUCCGCUAACACCGCAUAAGACCACAGCACCGCAUGGUGCAGGGGUAAAAUAUUUAUAGGUAUAAGAUGGAUCCGCGUCUGAUUAGCUAGUUGGUGAGGUAAAGGCUCACCAAGGCGACGAUCAGUAGCCGACCUGAGAGGGUGAACGGCCACAUUGGAACUGAGACACGGUCCAAACUCCUACGGGAGGCAGCAGUGGGGAAUAUUGCACAAUGGGGGGAACCCUGAUGCAGCAACGCCGCGUGAGUGAAGAAGGCAUUCGUGUCGUAAAACUCUGUAGUAGGGGAAGAAAGAAAUGACAGUACCCUAAAAGAAAGCCCCGGCUAACUACGUGCCAGCAGCCGCGGUAAUACGUAGGGGGCAAGCGUUAUCCGGAAUAACUGGGCGUAAAGGGUGCGCAGGCGGUUUAACAAGUUAGUGGUGAAAGGCAUAGGCUCAACCAAUGUAAGCCAUUAAAACUGUUUAACUUGAGUGCAGGAGAGGAAAGUGGAAUUCCUAGUGUAGCGGUGAAAUGCGUAGAUAUUAGGAGGAAUACCAGUGGCGAAGGCGACUUUCUGGACUGCAACUGACACUGAGGCACGAAAGCGUGGGGAGCAAACAGG
rnacentral:rRNA from 1 species